GCCCUCGCUCUGGCAGUGCAUAUGCCAAAACGGGAACGUUUCAGGGAAGAUUAGCACGGACCCUGCUCAAGGAGGAUGUACAAAUUCAUGAAGCGUUCCACAUUUAA
ensembl:snRNA U6 U6 spliceosomal RNA